rnacentral:rRNA from 1 species
ACCAUGCUGAAUAUACCGGUUCUCGUUAGAUCACCGAAGUCAAGCAUCAUUGGGCGCGGUCAGUACUUGGGUGGGUGACCACCUGGGAACACCGCGUGCCGUU